CUUUUACUUAUUUGAUUCAUCUUCUCAACUAACUUGGUAAAUUUUUUUCUCAUCUCCUUUCCAUCUCUUUUCAAAAUUUCGGAUUUCAUGCUGAAAUUUUUUGACUCACUCUCUGUUGUGAUAGCUGCGUGUUCGCGCGUUUUAGUAGCAAAUCACUGUGUGAUAAGCCAUCUCAUCAUACUUUAACUCUUUUCAACUAAAAGGUGUUCCUUCAGUUUGGAGAUUCUAUUAGCCGAUCAUGUUUUGCAAAUUAUGUUAGAUUUCUCAUAAGCCGCUCAAAAUAGUUCACCACAAGAGGGGUAAAAGCUUUAUUAAAUUUUUGUGAAUUGUGCAUAUUGUUCCAAUAGCAGGUAGAUCGAUCACCUUCUACUUAUAUAAUGUUAUUGCUCUAUGUCAACUACAUUUUAUCUCCUUUCAGAAAGUGUGAGUUCAAAAUAAAUUACUUUCAAUAGUUGUCGAAGAAGAUACAUAAGGAGUUGCUAAUUUUUUUCUUGUCUGUGGAAUAUCAAGUGUUUUGGGAAGUGAGGGAGCACCGUUGUUUCUAAAUGCUGCUUUAUUCUUGGAGCGUUGAUCUUUCUUUAGCCUUUCUGGUUCUUUAAAUUGUAUCUAUAGAAUUAUUGAUAAACUUCGAUUCAUGACUAUUUCAAUUUGCAUUACACUUGUUUCAUGUUUCACAUAUCCAAUUCUCUGGCAAAGUUAUGACUAGGGAUAAGUUUUCCAACACAUUGUAUGAUCGUGCAUUAAUUUAUGCUGUAUGAGAGCAUUCAUACAAUUUUAACUGUGCUGAGAAGCCCUUUUGGAAUAGGAUUAAUGCACUAAAAGAAAAAUAUUAUUUCUACCAGAUGACCAAAUAAUAUCCUUAUCAACUAUUGUAAUGGCUUAAAUAGGUGGCCAUUGAUGCAUUUAAUAUUGGUGUGCAGGUUGGAUGGAGUAGGAUGUGAGCUUUGUCUCUUAUUAGCUCUGUGAGUGCUGUCUCUUUAUCAGCGCACAUUUACACAAGGAAACCUCACAUUUGUUAAAGUUCAACUCUUGAAAAUAAAUUGUAUCUCUUGUAAGUCUCCCAUAAGUAAAGAUAUAUAUUUGUUUGUUCGUGUUUGAUGAUCAAUCGUUUCAAGAAUUCUGUGACAUGGUCUUUUGUUCACCUUAAUCUUUUGCAUGAUGGAGAAUCGUUCUAACAAUCCAAUGACACUUUUAUGUA